AACCAUCGUUAAAUGAAUGGUCGUUAAGCGAGGACUUCCUGUACAUCUGUUUCUGGGAUUGCAAAGGGGAUUGAUAUGGAUGACUUGGCAAGAGAGAACCCAGCUGGAGAACACCACAAGUGGCAACUGAGUGGUGGAAAGCCCUUGGUUCACUCCAAGUGGUCCUUCUGCACCACUGAAAACAACAUUUUAAGGGUACUUUGUGCUAAAUCCGCUCCACAUAUGUGCUUGUAAUAUACCUCUGGCUGUCCACUUGCAAGGAGGGAGCGUGUCCUGAAGUGAAAAAAAACCUAUGGUUGUUAUCAGAGAGCCACUGAUAAGUUCAUAAAAUAAAGCGUUAAUUUUGAAAGCACUGUGUUUCUGUCUUUCAAUAAAGAAGGCAUCAGAGGUUUGCCACGGUAAAAAGCUGGGUGUGUUGAGCACGGAGCAAAGAUAUUCUUGUGCUGGGCCCCCAGCUCCUCCUCCUCCUUGCUCUGCCCUUCUGAACAGCCUUGACUAGGAGGUUAACUCUGUUUCUCAUUAACGUCCGUGGCGAACAGCUCCUUGACAAGAGCAGAGAGCCAAAAGCAAGAGAGAUUCGGAAUAUAACAUCCCUGAAGAAUGGCCCUCCAGCCUCUGUUGAAGCACUCCAAGCAAAGGAGACUCCACCACAGUUGAGCAGGUCUUCUCAUUAGGAAAUCUUUUCUGAAGUCCAACCAGCCUUUGUCUCCUUGUAAUUUAAAUCCUUUCCUCCUUGUCCUGUCUUCUGGAGCAUCUCUGAAGAAUUUUGUUCAACUUCUCCAUGACAUCCUUCAGAGACUUGAAGACAGCUGUCACGGGUCCCUGAAGUCUCCUCUCCUGCAGGCUAAAGAUUCCCACUUGGUCUUCCCUCCAGAAUCAAACCAGGCCACUGGACCAAUCGCCAGCAAAUGCAAAAUGCUAAAAGGGAAGGCAUGUCUGGGCACGUGCUAACAGAACGUUCCAUGCGCUCUCCUUGGGUUGGUGGGCUCCAUCUAUCCACAGGCCUAUGGAAACACCCCGCUCGAGGCCAGCCAAGCACAAUGUUAGAAACCUCCCAAAGAUGCGCCAAUGCGCUGGAGCAUCCGUAGACCUUUCUCCAGCGCAAAUGCUCAGACUCAUCCAGGAAAGCUGAAAGGCGCCAAACACAGAAGGACCGGCGUCUCCAAGCAGCACAUGACCUGCAGAAUUAGGUACCGUAAGAAGGCUUUAAAAAUGGAUCCCUCCAUGGAGAAGAACAAGGCCAUCAGUGGCCAGCUACCAGCUAUGGAGUUUCCACAUGGGCAAUACAUGUAGGCAAUACCAUAGGAGUUAUUGUGCAAACCCAUAUCUCUGUAUGGGCUUCCCCCCCGCAAGCAUCACGGAACCCAGAAGUUGCAAGGGAUGGGCCUGUCAUAUCCUUGCUAUGGAAAACGUUUCCCAGAUGUCGCUGAAUAUAUUAAUAAGGACCACUUUUUAAAAAAAACCCAAUGGCCAGUUUUUAAAAAUCAUAUGUUAACGUCCGUGGGAGUUAAGGAAGUAUGUGGGAGCCAAGGCGACUUUCACUGAUCCUGCACAGGCUUGUCUGAUGGUCUGGCGUGGGCAGACGAGGCCUCGGCUCUUCAAACGCGGGGCAGGGUUUUCUGGAGGAGCUUUGGGUGAUUUUAAAGCCCUCCCCUCCCCGCCAUCUCUCCAGCAAUGGCACCCUUGGGCUCCUGAACGGAGGCCCGCUUCCAGCUCGCCUAGCUGUCUCUGGUCUGGGACUGGGCUACGGUUCCAGUUUCAGGUCUGCAGACGGCGGAGCUGAUCCCAGCUUGGAGGCGCCUGGCUGUUUACAAAUGAGGUUCUUCGUCUCUCUCGGCUGUUGUCCUCGGAGGGAGUAAAUUAAGCCGGGAGAUUUGACGCAGCUUUAUGGCUCAGCUGCUGGGAUGAAGACUCAAUAAAGGCUAAAUGUGUCUCAGAAUUUCUUUGUUUUUCAGCAGGACUUACAGGGGGUGGUCGGAAGAGGCUGUAAGGGAUUCGGAGCAGUUUCUAACUCGAUGGCCUUCCUCCAGCCCUCUCCUUUCCUGGGCUAAGUCAAGGUUCUGACAGUAGAAGACAUAAGACAGACUAACUAUUAGAGCUAACGCUGAAAACGUUCAUUUCUUUGUUUAAAAUAUUUGUAUAACGCUCUUCAGAGGAGCCUAAAUUAA